UCCUACGGGGGGCAGCAGUGAGGAAUAUUGGUCAAUGGGCGCGAGCCUGAACCAGCCAAGUCGCGUGAGGGAAGACGGUCCUAUGGAUUGUAAACCUCUUUUGUCGGGGAGCAAAAGACGCCACGCGUGGCGUUCCGAGAGUACCCGAAGAAAAAGCAUCGGCUAACUCCGUGCCAGCAGCCGCGGUAACACGGAGGAUGCGAGCGUUAUCCGGAUUUAUUGGGUGUAAAGGGUGCGUAGACGGGAAAACAAGUUAGUUGUGAAAUCCCUCAGCUUAACUGAGGAACUGCAACUAAAACUAUUUU
rnacentral:rRNA from 1 species